rnacentral:tRNA from 1 species
AUAGCUCAGCUGGAUAGAGCAACGGCCUUCUAAGCCGUAGGUCAUACGUUCGAAUCGUAUU